CACACAUACGUUGGGAAGAAAAUAGAAGGUAUGAUGAGGGGAGGUGAAAUGAUGAGAGGAAGUAGAAUCAUGGAAACAAUUGAAUUACGAUGGUUUUUUUAAGUUAUGUUUGGUGCGAUCCAUAAUGAUAAGUGAGUUUUUAUUUGACUUUGCACAUGACUCUGUGAUGAUGAGGUUUUGGGAGCACACGUGCACUACUUCAUUUCCUUUUACACCAUAAGUCGUAACCCUUAAUUGAUGCCUUCAUCUCAGUUUCCAGUUUUAUAUUUAGUUUGUAACUAUAUACUAUAUAACUGAACUUGUCAGAUUUCUCUUACAAAAUCGAAUUUCUCCUCUUUUAUUUCUCAUCCACAACUGAACAAUUGGAAUUGAUCUGAGCGCAUAUCCCUUUCCUUUUGUAGCUAGAGAGCUUCGAAUGCAGAUGUCAAUUAUAUUUUCAUCCCUUUUUUAAUUGCUAGGAGAUUUUCAUAAGUUGUAAAGCUGUAUUUUUCUAAAGUCAUUUUCUCAUUUUG
rnacentral:lncRNA from 1 species